AGGGCCCAACAAGGAACUAAGAAUAAAGUAAAGAACACAGGGUGGACCAGCCACAGUAAAAUAUGUCCAGAAUGAGGGCAAACCAGUUUGUAAAAUAGCACGUUAUCUGCAGUCAGAGUCACAGACUACAGAGUGAGGAUAUCUUACGACAACAUCACAGGAGCCAUCUUUCUCUCUUUUUAAAAUCAUAAAUCGGAUAUUACUCUCCUGCUCCUGGAGCCUACAGGUGGAAGGAGACGUUACUCACUGGAAAAAGGCAGAUGGAUGCCAGAUCACAGUCAGUGUCGAUUGGAAUAGCGAUAGCGUUCUGCAUUCUGGGGGUGUUUGUGCUGGUCUGUGUGCUGCAGAUUUUCUGGAAGAAGCUGAAGAAAUGCUGCAAAAGAAAGAGGCCUUCAGCUAAAGAUAGAAUCCUCAAGAAAGUUGGACUCAAGAAAUCUUCACCUCCUUUCUCCGUCAGUGGGAUUAUAGACAAGAAAUGACAGCUUGUGCUCAUGAUGUGCACCUAAAAUGUAGACGUUAGUUUCCUCUGUUACAUAUUUAUUUUUGUAAUUGUAUAUUUUUUCUAGAUUUGCUCACUUUUGCAGUAUGUAUGGGAAUACCAUUUGAUUUGUACCUGUAAUAUAAUGUAAUAUGUGUGUGAACCUUUACACAAAACCCAACUAUAACUUACACAUUAAUGGGAUUUUAUGUAUUUUUAUGCAUUUUUGUCUUGCUUUUAUCAUCAUCAUCAUCAUCGUCGUCGUUUCAUUUUAGAUUUUCAUUUUAAAACCCUAGGAGAAAUGAGUGAAUCCUGUUUAAGAGUAUCUUGUAACUUGUUCCAGCUCACUAUUCUACUAUGUUUUUCUGAAAGUGUACACUGUAAUAUCUAAAAUGUUCUGUGUUUGUGUUGCGCAGCCCUUUCUAUUCUUUGCUCACCAUCAGUGUGUAGUCAUUCCCCCAGGCUGCUAUUUCAUAUGUGUUAAGUUAUAGUACAUAUUGUGGUGCAGCUGCCUGGCCUCAGUGUUGAAGGUUAUAAGAGCAAGUUACCAUUUCUCUGCUUUUUGUUACUGGACGCUGCAUUCAGCACCUAUUACUGAACAGAUUGUAUUUGUAUUAGUAAACUUUGCUGGAUACAGUUUCCAGUCGAAUUAUGUUAAGGGAAAAUGUAACUGAUUGGCCACUUGGUGUCACAUGUACUAAGAAUUAUAAAAAAAAUUCAGGACUGGAUACUGGAUUAGGGCGCAGAAAGAGUGCUGUUUGUGUAACUUAAACAACGUAAACGCCGUUCACUUAAUUUACUUAAAUUCAUUGUUUGUACUCACCUUAUUGUGUUAUUUAAGCUCAACUGAUUUAAACUGUUAAAACUUGAAUAUAUUAAGGCAGUUGGUUUUCCUGUGUGUACAGUUCCCACACACUCUUACACUCUGCAGUAGUGAAGAUGAGUUGUGUUUUAGCAGUAAAAAGUAAAGGUGAUUUGAUGCAGUAACAGGAUGUGGGGCACUGGGGCCGUUGGUUUGUGAGCUGUUGUGUUCGGGUUCAGGCCUGUGGUGGUUUCCUCUCGGCGGUGAGUCGAGCUGCAAAUAGCUUGUGAGGUAAAUCAAGCCGACACCACUCAUGAAUAGCAGCCAGUUAAGCAGCCCGCUCUGUUCCCCAGUUUUACACCAGGGCUAGACAGACUGACAUCAGUGGAGAAAAGCCAAAUGUCAGCCCCAAACCACAGAUGGUGAAGACAUCACGCUUUAGCACAAACUCUACCAGUUAAAGGUUUUAGAACACCCCUAUUUUUUUAGUAUUCCAGUAGCAGUGCUGUAUGACCCUGACAAGCUGUUUUUUUAUUAUUUUAUCUUCUAACACUUUAUUACUGCACUUAAAGAAGGAGAUUUUUGGCCUUUUGGGCAACAGUCCAUUGCAAUAGCCUCAUCUAGAAGUUAAAAGAGAAUGUACUAGUUUCUCAGCAUUUGCUUUAGUUUGUUAUCAAUGCAUUUUUUAGAUAAUUAUUCUAUGUGAAUCAUUUAUUAGCCCUAAAUCAAAUGUUACUCAGAUGGUUUAAUAUGCACUCUCAUUUUAAACUGUCUUAAACAAGGCCUUUGAGGUUGCUUUUGCAUUUUCAGGGUUUAAACCAGAGUGUUGGUGGCAAUCACAAAUGCAAAGAGGAAAAUGUGAUUCUGAGUGGUAGAUUAGGUUUUCUGCUGUUCUGAAAAAAAAAAAAACAGUAUGAACUACACAUUCUCAGAACCAUUCCACCAUAUCACCUGCACAAAACCUCAAAAUUUAAGUUGAUUUUAACAUGACCUACAUCCCAGAGCUAAUAAAAAGGGCUCAAAAGUAUACUUAUUAAGUAUGCAUUAAAAUUGUAUGUAAUAUUGCAACUCUUAAUUGCAUUGCAUUUCUCAUAAAAGAAGAAACACAUGAUAAUUGUCCUGCCACCUUGUGGGCAGCUCAUUAACAUUUAAAAUAAACUAGUGCAAAGUUCAGUUCAUACUAAUUUAAAUGAAAUAGUGAAAAUAAAUAUAUAAUCUACCACACUGGUUUGGAUACUGAACUUGUAAGCAUUUCCUCAACACAAAACAAUAUCAAAUGUUUCGGCAUUGUAGACGUUUUAUGGACCUUUUAAACUCCAGUAAUAAAGAUGUUAAACUACAGUAAUAAACCUUUUAAAAGUGUUCUGGCUGUAACUCCAGCGUAAGCCCACCAACCAAUCAGCUCACAGCAGCAGUAAUGCAGUGUUUUUACUGCCUAAAACAUGUUUACUAUAUACUGAAAUAAUAAACUGAAAUAUACAGGUACAUUUCCAUUGCUUUCCAUUCCAUUUACAUUAUUAUACUUUCCAAAAAUACUGACCAGGUAGAUCUUUUUUUUCUAUUUUCAGUUUGAGCUUUUAGUUAUUUAGUUGUCUCUAGUGGUUUACCAUCAUUUUCUGAUAUAGCGGGAGAUGUGGGGGAUGUGGGCAGGCUCCUUAUAAACCUGUCCUGGAUUGGCUGGCGCAAAAAUGAAUGAUUCUCAGGUAAACGUUGAGUUCAGCGUUCACAGAAAAAAAACAACACUAGUGCAGAUUGUCAAAUAUUAUAUAAAAUAAGGGAUGUCAAUCAAUAAAAAUUUUUAUCACGACAAUAUUCUGUGAUUAACUGCAUUUAAAUGCACUUGUUCUUCUUAAGACUUAAAAAAUGUAUGUAAGAAAUGUAAUUAUAUUUUUAUCUGUGGUGCCAAUUAAAAUACUAAUGUAUAUUUGUACUUUUAAUGGGGGGUUAAACCAGUGUUGCUUCUGGAAUGAAGAAUGCAUGAUAAAUUGGAUAGAGGUAACAGAGUUUGUGUUGUGCUGUAAUACAGAGACUGCUGUGCUAAGCUCUUUUCUCUUAUUUAUUUUAUUUCUGUAAGUAAUGCCAUAAAUGUGAUUUGGCAAACUAAUAAAUAAGCAAGUGAAAUACCGCCA